rnacentral:rRNA from 1 species
UGAGGAAUAUUGGACAAUGGGCGCAAGCCUGAUCCAGCCAUGCCGCGUGCAGGAAGAAGCAUCUAUGGUGUGUAAACUGCUUUUGUACGGGAAGAAACACUCCUACGUGUAGGAGCUUGACGGUACCGUAAGAAUAAGGAUCGGCUAACUCCGUGCCAGCAGCCGCGGUAAUACGGAGGAUCCAAGCGUUAUCCGGAAUCAUUGGGUUUAAAGGGUCCGUAGGCGGUUUAAUAAGUCCGUGGUGAAAGCCCAACGCUCAACGAUGGAACGGCCAUUGAUACUGCUAGACUUGAAGUACACAGAAGUAACUAGAAUACGUAGUGUAGCGGUGAAAUGCUUAGAUAUCACAUGGAACACCAGUUGCGAAGGCGAGUCACUACGUGUGGAUUGACGCUGAUGCACGAAAGCGAGGGGAGCAAACG